CAGGAACCAAAGAAAUGUGACAGAAGCUCGUUCACUUGUCAGAGGCUCUACUACUUGCAUUAAAAAUGGAGUAUUGGCAAUUGCAGCCAACACACGGACACAAAAUAGAGUAUUGGCAAUUGCAGCCAACACACGGACACUUAGGAGACAAUCACUAACAGGUGCUGGUUCAGACCAGUCUCGCCGGUCUUCUCUGGGUGGCAAGUCCACUAAUUCCAAUGUAAAAGACACAAGGAAUGCCAAGACGCCUCCUCCAGUCCACCCAUCAUCUACGAUAGCAAAGCGUUGGCUGUAGCUAUAGAUGGCGAAAUUUAGUGUUCAAUGACCAGCGAAGUGAUGCUUUGACUCGAAGCUGACUGAAGUUUUGACAUGAUAGAUGAGACACGGAGAAUUGACGAGGGAAAGACUGAAGAGUUACCCGACAAACGCAAUAGCAAUUUUUUGGUUUAACACACUGCUUAUGUACAUAUUGACACAAGUUCUUCAAAUAAUGCCCGAAAUUUCUAUGGCAAUGUUUUCAAACUGCUCUUGCC